rnacentral:rRNA from 1 species
CAUUAUCGUACAGCUGAGGUGCAAAGGCUGUCGCUGACCCUCAAGGGUUGUGCACGCCCGAGUGCUCUCACACAAUCCAUCUCACCUUUGUGCAUCACCGCGUGGGUCCCCUUUGCAGGAGGGCUCACGUUUUCACAUAAAACUCGAUACAGUGUAGAAUGUUUCUUUUGCGGUCACACGCAAUCAAUACAACUUUCAACAACGGAUCUCUUGGCUCUCGCAUCGAUGAAGAACGCAGCGAAAUGCGAUACGUAAUGUGAAUUGCAGAAUUCAGUGAAUCAUCGAAUCUUUGAACGCACCUUGCGCCCCUUGGCAUUCCGAGGGGCACACCCGUUUGAGUGUCGUGAAAUCUUCAAAACCCUUUUUUCUUUGAACCAUYGCGGUCGGGAAAAGGAUUUUUGGACUUGGAGGCUUAAUGCUUGCCCUUUCUUUUUGAAAGCGAGCUCCUCUCAAAUGAAUUAGUGGGGUCCGCUUUGCUGAUCCUUGACGUGAUAAAAUGUUUCUACGUUUUGGGUUUAGCACUGUCCCUUGGAUGCCUGCUGCUAACCGUCUCAUUGACAAUGAUGGUGCUCCGGUCACUGCCGUCUACGUCGGCGGGAGGCUGGACCCACAAAAAGAAAAC